rnacentral:lncRNA from 1 species
GUCAUCUUGUCCCAGAAACAUAUUCGUUACCACUGCUGGUUUGAAGCAUUUUUGACAUUCCUUAUUACUUUUUUUCUGGUUUUCUUGUGAGUCAUUUGCCUGGGAAAGAUUUCUUGAGGGGAUUUGGCAGCAAGCUUAACUGCUGGGCAAAGGAGGAAGGCAAUAUGAUUUCAUGUCAUCUCAGUUUUUGGGACCAGAACUUGGAAGUGCAAUAUGCAGAAAACACCAGGAAAGUGCUUCUUGGCUGA